GACGAACGCUGGCGGCGUGCCUAAUACAUGCAAGUCGAACGCAUUUUCUUUCACCGUAGCUUGCUACACUUAACGAAAAUGGGUUGCGUACGGGUGAGUAACCCGUGCGUAACCUGCCCGUCAACUUGGGAUAACACUUGGAAACAGGUGCUAAUACCUCAUAAUUCCAUUUACCGCAUGGUAAGUCGAUGUAAGUCUCUUUUACGUCACUGUUGGAUGUACACGCGGUGCAUGAGAUGGUUGGGGGUGUAACGGCCUACCAAGGAUGCGAUGCAUAGCCGACCUGAGAGGGUGAUCGGCCACCCUGGGACUGAGACAAGGCUCCGACCCCUACGGGAGGGAGCAGUAGGGAAUCUUCGGCAAUGGACGCAAGUCUGACCGAGCAAAGCCGGGUGAGUGAAGAAGGUUUUCGGAUCGUAAAACUCUGUUGUUAGAAAAGAACAAGGAGGAGAGUGGAAAGUUCAUCUCUUGACGGUAUCUAACCAGAAAGCCACGGCUAACUACGUG
rnacentral:rRNA from 1 species